rnacentral:lncRNA from 1 species
CCCUUCCGCCUUCCGGAUGGAUGAAAGCAGAAGCAGUGGCUGGAGCUAGAGCAGCUAUUUAGGACUAUGAGAUGGAAGAAAUGUGGUGACAAUAGCAGAACAAAAAUAUAGAAAUCUUGGGUACUUGAUGACCACGGAGCCGCCAUACAAACUCUGGACUAUAAUUUCCAGAGACUGUUUAUGUGAGAGAGAAAUAUACUUCUCCUGUUAGGCUACUGUUAACUCUGUGUUUUCUGUCAGUUCUGAUAUAGGAGGCAUUGUCAUCCCAUUUUACAGACGAAGAGACGGAGUCUCAAGUUUCCAUAGCUGGUGUGCACUUUAGUUCCUCAAGGACAAUAAUGCCCCACCCUUGAGAAUGAAGAUACUGUCAUUACCUCUGCAAAGAAUGCAUCCUAGCACAGAUCAAAGAUCUUCCAAGUCCAGCCACACCAUUUUACAGUUCUGAACCUCGACUUAGGAAAGCAGUGGAUCUUUAUACAUUUGACACAUCCCUUCCCUCUAGGAUCUCUGUGGCUAUUGAAAAUGGACUGGAGAAGAUGAGUGGGAGUGAGAAGAGGAUAACAGAAUCAGAUAAAAACCUGUCAUGUUACUAAGAGCAGGAGAUGAGGCAGCCUGGACCAAGAUGGUGGCAGAGAGAAGAAAAUUGCUUGAGAGAAUUGAUUAAACUACUUGGUUAGCACAGAUAGAGCUGAAUCAAAAAUUAGGAUGGUAAGCUAAGUAAUUUUACACACAAAAAGGCAGAGUUGCAUUCAUAAUUAGUCUCUCCUUCAGACUGAAUAUUACAGACAAAAUAUAGCCAUUGGUGUUGCAAUCACUUCCUUUGGGUUUGUAUCCAAGGUUAAGAAUGUCAGCAUCCAAAGACCCAAAUUCUUAAUGUUUUUAGUUGAUAAAGUUUAUUCAAG